UACGGGGGGGGCAAGCGUUGUUCGGAAUUACUGGGCGUAAAGGGCUCGUAGGCGGCCAACUAAGUCAGACGUGAAAUCCCUCGGCUUAACCGGGGAACUGCAUCUGAUACUGGAUGGCUUGAGUUCGGGAGAGGGAUGCGGAAUUCCAGGUGUAGCGGUGAAAUGCGUAGAUAUCAGGAGGAACACCGGUGGCGAAGGCG
rnacentral:rRNA from 1 species